UUGAAAGGGAAACGAUUGAAGUCAGUCGUACCAGCGGGAAAUCAACCUUUCGAGGUCUUGCAGUUUUGAAGUGUGUCAAAACCUUUGAGAUUUUAAAAUUUUCGCUCUUUUGGUGUACUUUCUCGUGGGUAGGUUAACAUCGAUUUUGAUCAUCAUAAAAAGACUGGAGGAAUGUAGCUUCGAUCUUGUAUUGAAGUGUUAUAGCCUUUGGUAAAUGUGAUGAUUAGGAUCGAGGAUUGCAACGAAUACCCUUCUGGGCUAUCCGCCUGAUCUCUGAUACGUGGCCUUGGCAUCGAAAGCUUGCUUAUGGUAUCAAGGUAUUACGGUCAAAAGGUUAGAACGGAUUACAUUCGUUAAGGAUGUUGACGUA
rnacentral:rRNA from 1 species